UGUUCACUGACCGGGAUAAAAAGUAGUCGAUCUCUUUCACUAUGCCCUGGAUAUUAAAUUCCAUAAAGAUUGGUUAAGCCGUGAAGGUGUCAAGAGGAGGCGAACGAGCAUACGGCUCACCUGAUGAUAAAUGGCCCAUUCAAACCUUAGGGCCUUACUGGAGUAGAGUGGCGGAGGAUAGAGUUCAGUGGAGAGAGCUGGAGGAGGCCUAUGCCAGGAGGCACACCGAAUUGAGAGAUAUAUUAUAAUAAAUAGAAAGGGGAAAAUAUGUCUUACUAGGGUUAUAGAGAAUUCGGAGU